AUUAGGAUUUGGUUUAGGAUUUAGGAUUUGUUAGGAUUAGGAUAUGGUUUAGGAUUUGGUUUAUAGUUUAGAAUUUAGGAUUUGGUUUAGGAUUUGAUUUAAGGUUUAGAGUUUGGAUUAGGGUUUGGUUUAGGAUUUGGUUAGGGAUUGGUUUAAGGUUUAGGAUUUGAUUAGGAUUUAGUUUAAGGUUUAGGUUUUGAUUAGGAUUUGAUUUAGGAUUUAGGAUUUUUUAGGAUUAGGGUAUGGUUUAGGAUUUGGUUUAGAGUUUAGGGUUUAGGAUUUAGUUUAGGAUUUGAUUUAGGAUUUAGGGUUUGGAUUAGGAUUUGGAUUAGGGUUUGGUUUAAGAUUUGGUUAGGGAUUGAUUUAAGAUUUAGGGUUUGAUUAAGAAUUGAUUAGGAUUUGAUUUAGGAUUUAGAAUUUAUUUAGGAUUUGAUUAAGGUUGGAUUAGGAUUAAGGUUUGGUUAGAAUUUAAGGUUCUAUUAGAUUUUUGUUAUGGUUUCACUAAGUUUUCUUUAAUAUUCUUUUAUAUUUCUUUAGGAUUUUCUUGUGUUUCUUUUAUAACUUCAAUAAAAUUUAAUUGAAUUUGCUUAAUAUUUGAUUAUGAUUGUUAACGUUUAAUUGUAAAUUCUCUAUAAUCUUAUUGGAUUGUUAGGACCUUUUGUUGCAAUUUUCUUUUACCUUCUACAAUCAGGUGCUCGGUGCAUUUUCAAGCAAGACUUCACGUAUUACGACAUA
rnacentral:lncRNA from 1 species